AGAAAGCGCAGCAGUCUGAGUCUAGACCUACGUUGUCGUCCUGGAGAGAGGCUGAACUGAGGAACCCUCUGCCUAUGUUUCUGCCCUACUGAAAUGUAAGAUGCUCCAUGCUUUGUUUUAUCCUGGAUACACCCCCAGCUGAGAUGAUGGCUCCCAGAAGUGUCCUGUGACGUGGCUGAGGAGUUUGGGAGACAGGUUUAAGGGUCCCAUCAUCCCACAGCUCCUCUUGGCAGUGGCUGCCUUGGAGAUUCAAACAGUUGAAGGAGGCUUGCCUUUCUGCACAAAUCACCGCUCAAGAGAAGGACUACAGUCACCCGUCUAAGUGACUACGUCUGCCUUUUUAUGGAAGUUCUGGAGAUUGCACUCAAGUCCCAGUGCUUGGAAGAGACAAACACUUUUACCGACAGCUAGCUGCACAGCCUCAGUUUCUGCAUUGCUUAAAAAAAAUGGACUUAUCAAGGAGUCUUUGAUUUCUUAGCUGAAGCAAAGAGAAACCGAUGAAGAGGCUUGCCACCUGGAGAUCUGAGUCAUACCUGGGAGGCUGUGAGAGGCUGCUGGACAGACAACCUGAUGGAAGUUAGCCGAAGAAUUGAGAGUAUCAGAAGUGCAUCUCAGGGAGGGCUGGAAAGCAUAGGGCUCACUAUUUGCUGCACUGAGUACGACAUGAGCUUGCACAUGCCCCUCUAUCUAUUUUGUUUUUCUUUAAACAGAGGCCACGGUCUGAAUCAUCACUUCUGUCUGUACUCAGCUGCAUCUUCAGUGCUGCUCUGGGUGUACCCCUUGCAAAAAGUAUGACCCAGAGCUCUCAUUAAAUACCUUCCACAUCAUUUCCCAGGAAAAUAUUCCAUGAGUUAGAGCUCUGUUAGCCUCUAUGUUGGAUAACAUGGCAUUAUGGCUAUUCAAUAAGGCCUAGGCACAGUCACACCUAUGUGUUGCAUUAAUCGAAUUUUGAUGAAAUGCUCAGAACAAUGCAGGGAUAUACAGCGUGCUGGCCCCAAAAGCCAGGCCAGGUAUGCAUGGAGAAGCAUGGUCCUCCAUGCUUGCUUCAAUAAUUACAAUUUGGCAGAACAAAGAAGACAAAUGCAUAAAUAACCGUUCAAUGAAAUGUGCUCGAGAAGGUUAGAGGAGAGAGAAAUUAGUCAGCCAGAGGAUACAGAAGCCCUGAAAAUUUCAGACACGACUAAUAGUAAAUAUGGUGGAGGGACUAAAGGGGCUGAAAAAUGAAAAUACCCAAGUAUAAGGUACAAGUUUUAUUUCACUUAAAAACAGUUACUAAGCUACGGGUCUCAUGUUCCUCAGUACCAAGCAGGGAGUCCUUGUGAAUCAGUGAUCUUUGAAGGUGCAUAUGUGAGAUCAGCUAUGUGUAGAGGUGACUUUCUUUCUCUUGUCACCUUAAUUAGAUUUUUGGCAACAGCGGCUCCACUUGCAGUUGAGUUUUCACUGAACAUUAAAAUUCAUUAUUUCCAAUAAAAUCAUGAUGGAAAAUACAAUCAAAAUGAAAGUUCAUUGUAUAUACAGCAAGUUACAUGUAAUUAAUGCUAGUAGAAAUUGCCAAAACACUUAGAAAAGACCAUAGAAUAUUCACAGCUAUGUGAAGCUGAUAUGAUUCGUUCUUGAAUUAUGAAAGUUAGAAGACCUGAACAUCUGUCAAUAUUUACUGCCUGAAUUUAAGGAGUUCUCGUGUGACAUCUUCAAAUAACUGAUCUAUCUAGAAUAGCUCCAAUUCUAAGACUAUAAUGUUGUUUACUAAAUGCAAAUGCAGGUUGAAUAGUUUAGAAUGCUUCCUUUAUUCUAAAGUUUUGCUGUCAACCUUCAUUGACAAAGAACUACCUAAUAUGUGAAGAUGGAGGAUACAAAUUAAUAAAAAAUGGCAAAUGUAUAUAUCAAGACCAAUAUGAUCCAAUAGAUAUUUGUAUAAUGGUAUGAAAUAUAAUUAGAUUCAUAAAGUACAUUAUGUAAUUUGAGGUAUCUAUUUACUAUUGUGACCAGCACAUUAAAAGGUAGAUAUUUAAUAUGAAGUUUCUAAUUUACUUCCCCAGGAAAUGACUAUUAAACCGAUGGUUCAUUUUAUAACUAAAGGUAUUCCAGCCCUGGAAACACCACAGAAAAUGUCCUGGGCAAAAUACAAGCUGCAGGAAAUUUCCCAAGAUUAUUACUCACUUGUUAUAUGCUUUGGUAUUCCAGAAUUGGUUGCCAUUAAAGUAUUGAUUUUUAAGUAAAUUACAUUUUAUUGUAUGCUGUGUAUGAGAGCUGCCGAUUAGUAAUCAAAUCUAAGUACUUUUGAUUUAUUUUUAUGGAAGACUAU